rnacentral:rRNA from 1 species
UACGUAGGGUGCAAGCGUUGUCCGGAAUUAUUGGGCGUAAAGAGCUCGUAGGCGGCUUGUCGCGUCGGCUGUGAAAACCUGGGGCUCAACCCCGGGCCUGCAGCCGAUACGGGCAAGCUAGAAUUCGGUAGGGGAGACUGGAAUUCCUGGUGUAGCGGUGAAAUGCGCAGAUAUCAGGAGGAACACCGGUGGCGAAGGCAGGUCUCUGGACAUUUCCUGACGCUGAGGCACGAAAGCCAGGGGAGCAAACGGG